rnacentral:rRNA from 1 species
AGACCCGAAACCCGGUGAUCUAGCCAUGGGCAGGUUGAAGGUUGGGUAACACUAACUGGAGGACCGAACCGACUAAUGUUGAAAAAUUAGCGGAUGACCUGUGGCUGGGGGUGAAAGGCCAAUCAAACCGGGAGAUAGCUGGUUCUCCCCGAAAGCUAUUUAGGUAGCGCCUCGUGAAUUCAUCUCCGGGGGUAGAGCACUGUUUCGGCUAGGGGGCCAUCCCGGCUUACCAACCCGAUGCAAACUGCGAAUACCGGAGAAUGUUAUCACGGGAGACACACGGCGGGUGCUAACGUCCGUCGUGAAGAGGGAAACAACCCAGACCGCCAGCUAAGGUCCCAAAGUCAUGGUUAAGUGGGAAACGAUGUGGGAAGGCCCAGACAGCCAGGAUGUUGGCUUAGAAGCAGCCAUCAUUUAAAGAAAGCGUAAUAGCUCACUGGUCGAGUCGGCCUGCGCGGAAGAUGUAACGGGGCUAAACCAUGCACCGAAGCUGCGGCAGCGACGCUUAUGCGUUGUUGGGUAGGGGAGCGUUCUGUAAGCCUGUGAAGGUGU